ACAGCAUUUGGACCAAAUUCGACGACAAACCCUUUUGCUCUAAUGAAGGCAAUGUGUUUAUUCCGGGUAGUAAUGCAGUUAGAAAGGUAGCCUAACUUAUCUGAGUCCUUACACUUCUAUGGAACAAUGGAACCCCAUGACCCUGGAUAUCUGCAUGACCCUGCUUUUGUUCCGUCCGAAGCCGAGAUUUUUUUCCCCCGGAUCCUCACCGGCUUUGAACCGUACCCACAUUUCUACACUGAGGCAUGGCUUUAACGCAGGACAGGACAUCUUUUC